rnacentral:misc_RNA from 1 species
GAUGAAGAACGCAGCGAAAUGCGAUAAGUAAUGUGAAUUGCAGAAUUCAGUGAAUCAUCGAAUCUUUGAACGCACAUUGCGCCCCUUGGUAUUCCGAGGGGGAUGCCUGUUCGAGCGUCAUUAUAACCCCUCAAGCUCAGCUUGGUGUUGGGGCCUGCUGCACUGGCAGCCCUUAAAAUCAGUGGCGGCGCCAUCUGGCUCUAAGCGUAGUAAUUCUUCUCGCUAUGGAGUCCUGGUGGAUGCUUGCCAUCAACCCCCAAUUUUUCUAUGGUUGACCUCGGAUCAGGUAGGGAUACCCGCUGAACUUAAGCAUAUCAAUAAGCGGAGGA